AUUAGAAAUAGAACACACUGUAAAAAAAUCAAGUCAAUAAUAAUAACAGCAGGAAAGGAAAGUCACAGUAACCUGAAAGUCGCGCCCUCCUGGCCUUCCCAGCCCUGCUGCCUUCCUUGCCGCAGAGCAGGGACACAGCCCAGGGUUUGCCGCUGCUCCCUGAGCUCAGGCUGUCGGCAGGAGUACGGCAGGUUCAAGUGCUGCCUGGCAAUUUAGCAACUUAGAACUUGUCUCAUAAUGAAAGAUAAAAAAGACUGGGGUGCAGCUCAGCGUGAAGGGUUAGGGGUCAACCCCUAGUACUGUGCGUGCACACACGCACACGCGCGCGCACACACACACACACACACACACACACGCGGGCGCGCGCCCAUACGCUCCUCUUCCACAGCCUCAUGGCCUCAGGGCCCCCUCUCCUGCCCAUCCCCACCCCCCACAGCCCGAUUUGCACGGCCUUGGGGCCUUGAUGAGUUCCCUGCCUGCUCUGCCCUACUUCGGGCUCUGAUUGCAAAGUGGCCUUCAGAAAGCAAACAAACCCCAGGGCCUUAGGCUCGGGGACCCAGCUGGCCCAGAUGCUGGGCCUUUUGCAAGGACUCUGCUGCUUCUCUGCCCUGCAGCCCAGAGCCAUCCUUGGUAUACGAUGCAGUUACACUCAUAACUGGGAUAUUGUACCAGUGUUUUGUUUUUCGAGACAGGGUCUUGCUAUGUAUCUCAGGCUGGCCUUGAACUCACGGCGAUCCUCCUGCCUCAGCCUCCCCAGUGCUGGGAUCACUGGUGUGAGCCACUACACUCAGCUUUGGUGCUGCUGCUGAGGGGCUGCACCCUCCUCACGCCGGACAUGAAGCCUCCUGGUGCAGUUUGCAGGGGGCCACACCAUCUCCAUUCAGAAGGAAAAGGAUUCAGGGAGGCCACCCGUCUCUGGCCAGCCGAUGCUGACACGAACACACCCUGCUGUUCUGUGGAAAGUGGGCUGGGCCUCUGCGGAGGACAGUGGAUCCGGCACCCUCUGCUCUUCCUGCCCUGGGACCCACUGAGGGGGUGACCGGAGAUCCGGCUGGGCUCCCUGCCUCCCACCCUCCGUGUCACCUGCCGUCCACCCUGUAGGCCUCACCUCCUCUUCUGGGCCACGAGGCCUGCAGUGCUGCGGGCGCAGGGCGCUGCCUCAUCUCCCCGGGCCUGGACUCUCUCGGGUCAGCUCCUGCUCUGCCAGGUGAGUGAGCUGAGGGAUGGACGUCGUCUUAGGAGGAAGGGACAGUCUGUCCCCAAAGAGAACGUCAGGUGGCCUCACCUCGUCCCAGCCUAGCAUCAGGCCCCGGCUCAAGAGGAUGGCAGGGGUAUCUGGUCUGGGGCACUGUAGCAGUCAGGACCCGGCAGAUAUUUUAUACAAACCGAUGAAUUUUCACCCAUCUUCGCACUGCAAUCUGCAAGGCUCAAACCUUGCAGGUCUUGUAGGUUUCCAGAGUGACAAUUCCAUGAUACCUCACCUUGGGCUACAAACAGCAGAAAAAUCAAGACACAGCAAGUAAGUGUCUUCCUACAAGUGCUCAACAUCAAGCGAGAUUUGGCUGCCUUGGUACAAGAGUUCCUGAGGCCCCAGGGACCCCAACUUUGUGUUCCACAGUCUUAGCCGCUAGCUUUUGUCCUCAUAGUGCUAAAACAGCUGCCUCUAUAUUGCCAUCACAUCCAUACUCCAGGCAGGAAGAAGGGCUGGGUAAAGUGAAUUAUACUUUCCUUGAAAUCUUUGCCUUUUAUUUCAGGAAGCAAAACCUUCCUGAGGGAUCUUCUGCUUUUAUUUCAUUGGCCAAAUUCCCACUUUAGCUGCAAGGGAAGCUGGGAAAUUGAGUUUUUCUUGAAUUCUAUGAUAGAGGGAGGCAGGAUGUAAACUAAAAUGUUGCUUUUGUUUACUAGAAAUGCAAAUUUAUCUUGCUGUCCUGUAUUUUUGUUAAACCUGGCCACCCAACCUCCAGAGCUUCUGUGUAAGGACGAGGACUCCUGGGAGAAUAGGUGGGGACUGAAAACACCGCUGCACGGCCGUGGGAGUCCCUUCACUCUGGGCUCCAGCGUCUCCACUCCCAGAGGUCACUGAUGCAGCCUGCGUCAGCUUUGCCGGAAGACUCGCCACCCGGAACGGAACUGCUGCAUCACGAAUGCUGCCCUCAGGUCCGAGCUUUGCAGAGUGGAAACGGAUGUGUUUCUAGGGUCUCACUAUGUAGUUCAGGUUGCCCUUGAACUCAUUAUGGAGCUAGGCCGCCCUCAAACCUGCAGCAGCCCUCCUGCCUCAGCCUCCCAGUGCUAGGAUUCUUGGGACUGAAAUGCCCAGCGGAGAAGCCAAGUGACUCAGAAGAGGAAAGGACAAGAGGGGGGUCUCUCUGGAAAGACGCCAGGACUGCGCAUGUCCCCCGCUGACCAGGUCCUGUGACGAGUGUGCCCACUGUGCCCUUCUCAGGCUCUGCUGCCCUGUGUCCCGAAGUGGGCUGGCAUGAGGACCGCCUGCCCCCAGUUGUCCAGUGUGUGCCCCCGCAUGCCCUGCACACGUGCGUGUGGGCACAAGCACCUGCGUGAGCAGCCAGGCGCCCGAGUCCCGCCUGUGCACACAGGUGCGCCUGAUGCCGGGGUGGAGGGAGGACCCAGCUCACCCUCCUGUGGGGUAAGGGUUUGAGGACCAAGAGAGCCCCAGCCUGGCCGCCACACGAACCCCGGGUUUCCUCAGCAAUGGUGACCGAGACCCCGCGUACCCACACCUCCUGUGGGCAUCACAUGGACAGAAUCACUGCCACACACCGCGGCUGUGCCCAGCCCGCCACGUGGUCGGGAAUCUUCCUGUGGGCACAGGGACUGUGGCUGCCACGUCCACGGUGUUGGAGCUGGUGGGGCUGAGCCAGGGGCCGGGGCUCAGGCCAGACAGCUCCUGCCCCUUAAAAGGACCGCUCCUGACUCGGCGGAGGGGCACACAUCUGCAAUCCUAGCUUCGCGGGAGGCCGAGGCAGGAGAAUUGCGAGUUGGAUCCAACGUGGGCAACUUAAAGAGAGAACCACGUCUCAAAAAAUAGAAAAGAUGUGAGGCCGGCGCUGGGUGGCGGUGCGCUUGCUGGGUAUCUCAAGGCUGAGUUCAAUCCUCCCCCUAAAGAAGCACACAGAGGGAUUGCUCCCCUGAGAAUAUGGUCUCCACAGCCCCUCUGGACCCAGACCUGGAGAUGCCCACCCUUCCCCACCCCGUCCCGGGGCCUGAGCGUCACAGGAGAGAAGUGACAAGGACUGCGGGCCCUGCGUGGGAAGAAAGAGAAACCAGAGAGGUUGGUCUCUGUGACUGAGGUCACACAGCGAGCGGAGGAAGUGGACUCUCAUUCAUUCAUUGAACAAUUCCUUGAAUUCCAAGAGGGAACAAAAGCCCAGGGGCAAGAAGGGUAGAUUCUCCCUAUGUUGCUGGACCAGACCCCUAAAGUCCCUGUGCCUCAAUGUACCCUCUGUCAAGGGCGCGCAGAAAGGGCUGGGGAGGUCGUCGUGCGCUUCUCACGAGGCACAGGAAAGAAUCCCGAGAGCAACAAGGGCUCGGGACGCCGGUUUCCAUGGGAGCCGCGCAGCGUGGGCUGGGCGUGGGCUGGCGCCUCAGUGGGCGGGGCCUCCCAGGCUGUGGGGCUGGGUACUUCCGGCCCUUGAGGCCUAGCGCGCAGGCCUGGGGCGGCCUGGCCUCCAGAACCGCCUGUAUUGUCCGUAAAUGACCCAGUGGCCUGAGCAAAAGCAGAAGGCCGCCGAGCAGGCUGUCCAGGGCCCUGCACAGAGGUCCACCUCACAGCCAAGAACCCAGAACAAGAAAGGUCAGGCUUCUGCCUCCUCUAGCUUGCUUGGAUUUAAGAUUUUUUUUUUUUUAACUAAGAAUCGAACUCGGGACCUUGUGCUUGUGAAGCAGGUGGCAAAACCACUGAGCUAAAUCCCCAGCCCCUUCUAGCUUGCUUGGAAAGCAAGGAGUGGCUCCCAAGCCUGGGCCCCUCGAUGCAGAUGGGAAAGAUUAGAGAGGGAAGUUAGGUAUGGGGGUGCAUGCCUGUGAUUCAAGCGCUUGGGCAGGCUGAGGCAGGAGGAUUGCAAGCUUGAGCACAGCCUCGGUAACAACGAUUGAGACCCUGCUUCAAGAAAAAAAUCAAAAUUAAAAGGGCUGCGGAUGUAGCUCAGUGCAAAGGCCCUGGGUUCAGUUGCCAGUACUGCAAAAACCGAAUCAAACUAAACCAACAAGCAAAAGAAAGACUAGGGAGGGGAAGGUGUGGCCAUCUUUGACCUUGUGGAGAGAGGGCCAGAAGAGGGGGCAGCACCCUUCUUACCCCACUCAGCAGGAAAGAAAGCAAGCGCCCGACACGCAGCAGGUUUUCUCAUUUCUUCAAUCAUGUUUUCAGCAGUGCAGCCCUGUUGUCUCAAUGCUUGGGAGGCUGAGGCAGGAGGAUCACCAUGAGUUCAA